ACUCAGGAGGGAUAGUUUUGCUCUCUACAUCUGCCUGGAAGGAGGCUGUAGCCAGGUGGGGGUUGGCCUCUUCUCCCAGACGACCAGAGACAGGACAAGAGGAAAUAGCCUCAAGCUGUACCAGAGGAGGUUGAGUUUGGUCGUUAGGAAGAAGUUCUUCUCAGAGUUCUUCACAGAAAGGCUACUUACUCAGAAUGGAAGCAUGGGCAUGUACUUUAAUAAAAUGGGAUCCAACUUUUAUGAGUGCUGCUGGCAUUUCAGGAAAACAACAACAAAGGUAUUCAGAAGACAAAGGAACAGUGCACACCGUGAUCCACAGGGCAAGGUUCAAUGCACUCUAUCUUGAACUUUCAAAAAUGUGAUCAAGGGUGCAAAUCUUAAGAAAAGUACUGGAGGACUGCUCACUGACUCAAAUUAAGUACAAGCCUGAGAUGUAAAAUUCAUAGUGCAAUGCGGGACAUCUAAACUUUCCAGUACAAUCUUCAAACAUAAUUCAUAUCAGCCAAUGCAUUUGAUGGUGGAUGUCUAAUCUACACAUUUGAAAAUGUCAGGGAGGGAAGCAUCUAAAAUUUUGUUGCUUCUGAAUUUAGGCACUCAUCCAUAGACAAAAUUAGAUUCUAUGGAACUAGGAUUUGCAAAUGCUUUGCCUGUGGUUCUAUGUGUAAGUCAUAUGAAGUGUCAGCAGACAGCUCUCUCCUGCAUCACUUUCAGAAGAUAGCCAGCAAGAAGAGGGAGGAGGAGGAGGAGGAGGUGAUAUUACUGAAGAGAUUUUGCAUAACAGUCUUGCUGUGCAAGUACUUUCCGCCUUCUUCUGACCUAUUUUUGAAUGGAAGUGACUGUGGGAGCUCUGCAAUGUGCUGCCACUGCUGCUGUCAUUGUGUGUGAAGUGAGUUCAAGGCGCACCUACUGAGCCAGGCCACUUGGCAAAUUGAGCGUGACACGCUGCUUUGCAUCCCAGAUGGACUAGGUGUGGAGGAUGUGCACUUCGUUCAGCUGAGAAGGUGACAUAUUUUGAUGUAUGCAGAGACACACCAAGCUAGAAAACUUAGAUGCCUUAGGCAUACAAAUUUUGUACAUCGUUCUCUUAAUGUUUGUCACUGUCUUAAUGGGUAAAUGAUAUAAUUCUAUUUUUCUGAGCUAUCUCACAAAAAUAUAUUGACAAGAAGGAAGCCCAUAAGAGAGAAAAGACUGUAUGGAAAAAGUAUGGAAACAUUUCUGUCUUUCCCCAUGGCUUAAGAAUGGUCUUACAGAGGCUCUUAUGAAUGCCUUCAUAACUUUUUUAAAGGCUGUAAGUAUAAAGGGUAAAUCCUUAAAGGCUAACUAGAUGGAUACUGAGGUAGUAAAAAAAGAUGCAGAUGAACUCAUAAACCUUCUUACCAGCAAAGGAAACAACUUAUUCUCUCCACUGCCUCAGUCUAAUUGUUUCUCAGAAAACUGAACCUCCUCAUUCAACACAUAAAAUAUCAGCCAUUUUUUCUUUCCCCCUUUUCUUAUUUUAAUUUUUUCUUUACAUGCUUUUUAAGAGUAAGCUGAAGACAUGCAAUUCUAUUGAGUACAAUUAGAGUGACUUGAGUGGUUUGUCAUGCAUAACUCUCAAGCGUGCAGAUCUCAAAGGCCUCAGUCCUCUGAGGUCCCUCAGUUCAUAGACAUGGUGUCCAGCAGACAGAAUACAGCAGAUGUUGAGACAAAUAAGGGCAAGAAUAUGUGACUGGAAGCAAUUGAAUUAUCCUGUUAAAUGAGUUCCCACAAGCAGUAAUUGUGAUUUUCUACCUCCAUCAAAAUGGUGUUGAAUACUAACUAUGCCGAUGCAUGAAGAAAAUAAAAGGCUGAUCUCUCAGAUCUCUCCUCCUUGUUCCUUGUUUUAGACACAUCAUAAGCACAAGAAUCAACCCUGACCCCAUUUCUGGUAAGGUUCUUUUUCAUGCCUCUACUGAUUUCUCGUCAAAUUUGUAGC